rnacentral:pre_miRNA from 1 species
UUGUAGGGUAUUCUGUCUUUAAGUAAGGGUAAAUUAUUCUUGAACAAAAUGCUCCUGGAUAGUUUCCCUUCAACUCAUUUUGUUGU